rnacentral:misc_RNA from 1 species
GAAAUGCGAUAAGUAGUGUGAAUUGCAGAAUUCAGUGAAUCAUCGAAUCUUUGAACGCACAUUGCGCCCCUUGGUAUUCCAUGGGGCAUGCCUGUUCGAGCGUCAUUUGUACCCUCAAGCUUUGCUUGGUGUUGGGCGUCUUGUCGGACUAUCCGACUCGCCUCAAAUACAUUGGCAGCCGGCACUUUGGCCUAGGAGCGCAGCACAUUUUGCGAUCGUAAGCCGUUGUGACAGCAUCCAUAAGAUUUAUUUUACCACGUUUGACCUCGGAUCAGGUAGGGAUACCCGCUGAACUUAAGC